rnacentral:rRNA from 1 species
CCUACGGGGGGCUGCAGUGGGGAAUUUUGGACAAUGGGGGCAACCCUGAUCCAGCCAUGCCGCGUGCGGGAAGAAGGCCUUCGGGUUGUAAACCGCUUUUGUCGGGGAAGAAAUCCUCUGGGCUAAUACCCCGGGGGGAUGACGGUACCCGGAGAAUAAGCACCGGCUAACUACGUGCCAGCAGCCGCGGUUAUACGUAGGGUAAGUGCGUGAAUCGGAGCUACUGGGCGUAAAGCGUGCGCAGGGGGCUGAAAUCCCCGGGCUCAACCUGGGAACUGCAUUUGUGACUGCAUAGCUGGAGUGCGGCAGAGGGGGAUGGAAUUCCGCGUGUAGCAGUGAAAUGCGUAGAUAUGCGGAGGAACACCGAUGGCGAAGGCAAUCCCCUGGGCCUGCACUGACGCUCAUGCACGAAAGCGUGGGGAGCAAACAGGAUUAGAUACCCGUGUAGUC